AACGAACGCUGGCGGCAUGCCUAACACAUGCAAGUCGAACGAGACCUUCGGGUCUAGUGGCGCACGGGUGCGUAACGCGUGGGAACCUGCCUUUAGGUUCGGAAUAACUCAGAGAAACGAACGCUAAUACCGGAUGAGCCCUGCGGGGGAAAGAUUUAUCGCCAAAGGAGCAGCCCGCGUCUGAUUAGCUAGUUGGUGGGGUAAAGGCCUACCAAGGCGACGAUCAGUAGCUGGUCUGAGAGGAUGAUCAGCCACACUGGGACUGAGACACGGCCCAGACUCCUACGGGAGGCAGCAGUGGGGGAGUAUUGGACAAUGGGCGCAAGCCUGAUCCAGCCAUGCCGCGUGAGUGAUGAAGGCCUUCGGGUUGUAAGACUCUUUCGUCACGCGACGAUGAUGACGGUAGCGUGAGAAGAAGCCCCGGCUAACCUUACGUGCCAGCAGCCGCGGUAAU
rnacentral:rRNA from 1 species